CUUUGAUGGUAAUAGUUUUAUUGAAAUUAGUUACCAGUAUAUUACAUUAAAACUACAUUUACCACCAUUAAAUAAAAGCCUUCAAUGAUAAAUGAAUCUAAAUGCAUAAGUAAUUUGAGAGGGUUUGUUUUUGGUUUUUGCUUAUUUUGUUAAAUUUUUUGUCACUUAAUGCAAAUAAGUUUAAACAACAAGAAGAUAAUACAUACAUCAAUUGUUGAUACAAAUUAUAUGGGGAUAUAUAAUACAACUUAUUGUAAAUGUUUAAUCAAUUGUGUGGUUAAUGUUACAGUAGCAAAUAAAUCUUAGAAGAACAUAGGUCAUGGGCAUACACAUGAUAAAAUGACCAUUUCAUCAAAAUGGACUAAAACCUAAUAGCAGGAAUUGAAAUACAUUGGAAGCCCUUAAUAAAGAAUACAACAGUUUGGUGGGAACCUGAUAAAAAUGUAUGGGGUAACAAAGAAUAC